GGUCAGGACCAGAACAUAACAUGGCAGAAUCUGAACUCAGCUGUGCACUGCACUUUCAGUUGGCUUUUAUUUCUCCAUCUCUUUUUGUUUUCCUUGGAGGCCUGCUUACCAUUCUGGCUUUCAGGUUAAUUCGAUGCAUUUGUAGAUUCAUUCUUAAGAAAAUCUGGAGAAAAAAGGUGAAGAACAAAGAUGUCUGGCGAUCACGCAAAAGGAAACAAAGAUUAGUCUACUAUGUAAGAAUCUUCUCUACACAGAUGGAAAUGAUGCUAUCAGCUCAAACCUACAUGGGACGUGUAUUGAUGACACUGGUGUUUUUUCUGAACAUUGGCACGCUGGUCAUUUAUUUUAUCGACAUUGUUGAAGCGGAGCAAUUGCACUUCUCCUUUCCGCACAGACUCAUUUAUGUGGAUCAAUUCUGCAAUGCUUUCUUCGUCUUUUACUUUGGAUUACGGUUUGUGGCGGCUGAUGACAAGCUGAGGUUCUGGCUCGAGCUGAAUUCUCUCGUGGAUUUCUUCACCAUUCCUCCAGUGUUUGUUGCUGCUCUUUUAAAGAAGAAUUGCUUUGGUCUGCGUUCUUUGAGAGCAUUGAGGUUGUUGGACCUUCCCCGCAUACUGCAGAUCCUCAGGAUCACCAAGGAUGAUAACUCCAUCAAGCUCUCCAAGCUCUUUGCCGUGUUUAUCAGCACGUUGUUCACAGCAGCAGGACUUGUUCACCUGGUAGAAAACAAUGGAGAUCCUUGGGUCCAGCCUGUAAAUUCCCAGACUAUCCCCUACUUCAGGUGCAUGUACCUCAUCAUGGUGACUAUGUCCACCGUGGGUUAUGGUGAUAUUGUGGUUCAAACAGUCUUGGGCCGAGCCUUCAUUUUUUUCUUCAUUAUUGGUGGUUUGGUCCUGUUUGCAAAUGUGAUUCCUGAAGUUUUGGAAGUUGUUCAAAGCCGUAAAAGUUACAAAUCCUCCUAUGAAGUGAUGAGUGGGAAAAACUAUAUUGUUGCCUGUGGUAAUGUCACUCUGAAGAGCGUUACUACUUUCCUGGAAGACUUUUUGCUUCAGUACAAGGGGAAUGUUUGCACAGAAAUCCUUUUUCUGGGAGAGUCUCUUCCCAGUCUUGAGCUGGAAGCUGUGUUCAAAUGCUAUUCACCCUACACCACUUUCUUUUAUGGCUCCGCACUGAACUCUGAAGAUCUGAAAAGAGUUCGGAUGGAGUCUGCAAAUGCUUGUCUCAUUCUAGCAGAUGUUUGCUCUCCAGAACCCUAUGCUGAAGACAUUUCCAAUAUCAUGAGAGUGCUGUCAAUCAAGAAUCACUACCCCAAAACAAGAGUCAUUUUACAGAUAAUUCAGUCACGUAACAAGGCUUACCUGCCAAACAUACCCAACUGGGACUGGAGGAUGGGAGACAGCAUCAUCUGCUUUGCUGAGCUGAAGUUGGGCUUCAUGGCACAGAGCUGCCUGGUUCCUGGUUUGUCCACUCUCCUGACCAGUUUGUUCAUUGGGAAAGAGAAUACAGAGACAAAGAGAAAACAUCUGAAGGACAAGAUGCUUCUGGGAGACAAAGACUACAAAGUAAUGGCUCUUCAGCUCUCCAAUGAUUUUGCAGACAUGACUUUUAUAGAGGUUUGUCGGUUAUGCUUUGUAAAACUCAACCUUAUCCUCUUGGGGAUUGAGCUCAAAUUUGGCAGUCGAGGAGAGAGUGCCAUCCUGAUCAAUCCAUCUCCACAGAUAAAGCUUCACCGGAAUACAAUGGGCUUUUUUAUUGCUCAUUCUCUUGCAGAAGUGAAAAGGGCACAAUUCUAUUGCAGAGUUUGUCACAGUGACAUCCAGGAUCCAGAGCAGAUUGAGAAAUGUCAGUGUGGAAGCAAAUCUCACUCAAAAACUUUCUCAGAGAAACUGAAAAUCUCCAUAGAAUCGCUUAUUUUGGAUGGAGAGCCUGCAAAGUCAAGGUUCGUUAGUACCCUUCCACCUCAGAGCUCUGUUAAUGGGGUCCCACAUGCCCAGGAGAAGAAGAGCAGCAGUCUCCCCUUGUAUCUAACAGGAAGGUUCCACUGCUGUGAUGCUGUUCCGCUGCACGAAGCUCUUCUGAGCUGCAAGAACCAAGCAGUGCUGUACCUGCAGGACCACAUCUUGGUCUGCGUCUUUGGUGAUGCAAAAUCCCCAUUGAUUGGGCUGCAGGACUUUGUGAUGCCCUUACGAGCAACAAACUUCCUUUACCGUGAGCUGAAAGACAUUGUUCUCCUUGGACCAUUGGAGUACCUGCAAAGAGAAUGGAAAUUUAUUCAGCAUUUCCCAAAGCUGUGGUUAUUCUCGGGCAGUGCUCUCUCCUGUGCGGAUCUGAAGGCAGUUAAUGUCCAAGGCUGUGCUGCUUGUGUCAUUCUGUCUUCCAACACCCCCAUCUCAAACAAUCCUUCCCUGGCGGACACAGAAAGCAUCCUAGCCACUCUCAAUGUCCGAUCUAUGGAGGCUAAGCUCAACUCAUCCUCACUGGAUGCUGUUUUCGGAGCAGGAGCAUUGGGGAAUCAAUCAGAGCCACGUUAUAAAAGGAUCCCCAUCACUACAGAGCUGAAGUUUUCACCAAAUGCCCACUUCAUUAAUCAGGCUCCCAGCAGCAGUUCUGACAACCCAGAUGAAGAUCUGCUUUCCUCCACCGCUGCCCCCGCAGGAGCUAUUUUCUCAGAUAGCUUCUUUCAUUCUCUUUUGUCUAUGACCUACUACAACCAUCACAUCCUGGCUUUGCUGCAUGCUUUGGUGACAAGCAGGACGAGCCCAGCGUUGGAGCAGCUGGAAGAAGAGGACAGCAGAAUGAGCAGAAGUCUGGACGACAUGGUCCAAAAUCCCUAUCAUGUCAGGUGCAAGCUGGCACUCCUGCCACUGUCCAAGAGGUGGUUGCCAGGGGUCAUGCAGGAGGAUUCCUUUGGAGACAUCUACUGCAAAGCUUUAGAUACAUUUGGAAUACUCUGCUUUGGCCUCUACCGACUGAUGGAUGAGCCCAACCCAUACAAAAACAGGUUUGUGAUUCCUCGGCCUGCCAAUGAUUUGAAGAUGUUGCCCACCGAUCUUCUUUUCUCCAUCGUUCCAUUCAACAUUGCAAUAACUGAAGACCUAUGAGAGGAAUUGGAGUCAAUUACAAAGCAAGAAAACAGGUUUGAAAGACUGCAGCUUGAGUCCAGAUACCACAUGCCGAGAAGAAAGGAACCCAAACAGCUGAUGCAGAGUUCAGACUAAACUAACUGCAAGCUCCCCAGGGACAUCACAAGAGCUCUUAUGAAGGAUGACUGUUGUGUUUCCAUCUGGAGCAGCUGAGCAGCCCAACUCAUGCCUCUGGAAGUUGGUAGAGAGAAACCCCUGUGCACAUUCACCCCUAACUGCAGCCUGCCCUCCCUGCCAGCAAUUUCAAUGGAGCAGUCCCGACACUGCAAAGAGCCAACCCACAGACUCCAAACUGAGGCUGAGAGGAGGAAGAUGAGCAUCAUUGACUGUUCCAUCAGAGCAGCUGAUGCUGUAGGGAAGCUGCAGGAGUGAUGCACGAAUCUCACAUUGAUAUUUAAGCUCUGGAGCUUGAGAGCAAUAGGGUUGUUCCACAAUUUCCCACUCUGAAAGGACUGCUCAGUGCCUGGGCUUGCUGUGAUGUCAUUCCUUUUGAGAACCUUUUCAGAUGAAGUCAGUGCAGGUGACUUCCACGUCCAUCAGAACACCACUGGUGUGAUCCUGGGCUGCUUGGUUCUCAAUUGCUCGUAGCAGUUUCCUUGUCUGUCCAUCAGUUGUGCUCCGUCAAUGUGCUGAGUUACAUCUGAGGGCUGGAAUGCAACUGAGCUGAAUAAUCCCUUGCGGAUAGGAAGAGGAGAUGGAUGCACUCCCCUCAGGAAGAAGAGUCCAAGAGGAUGAUAGCAACAAUCCAGCUGGGCCUGCAAGUCAACACCAUUCCCAGAUUUAGCCAAGAACUUUGGCAGUUUUUGAGUUGCUUGGGAUUUUGCCCUGGAUCCACAGUGUCAGGAGUGGCUGCUGCCCAGAUUAGCAAGUUGUGGUACGACCACUGUUGCUGAUGCCAAUAGUCAAAGAGAGGGGAAUGAAACCUGCUGAGACUUGGGGAUAAAACAAAUCAGUAUUAAUUAAAAGCAAAUGCUGUCUGUUGACUAAGAGGUUCCAAAGCAGAUGUUUGUCAAAAUCGCCAGGAGAUGGGUCAUCUGAAAGCAGAAGUUAUAAAUAAUGAGAACUAAGUUUUGAGUUAUUUCGUGUUUUCUCAGGUCAAAACCAGGUGUCAGUCAGUACUGGAACUACCGCAGACUGAAACACGUUGUGUUCUUACACUGCAGGGAGCUCCAUACCAUCAUCUCUUUGUGACCCAUGCAUCCAAACCACUGUGCACCUGCAGACCUGUGGCAGCAUUACAUGCACAGCUGGCAACAUGCUGGGCAGACCUUCACAUCACUCCUGCAGGCAGAGGCUGGCAACCUCACUCCACCUAAUGGCUCUUUACAAUGUUAUGCUCAGGUGGAUGCAUGUUGGAAUGGCACCUCUGUGGGUCUCCAUCCUUCUUUGGCAGCAGCACAGAGGAAUCCAGGCAGCUCACUCUGUUCUGUUCUGGGAUACAUCAGAAGAAGUGUCCAGCUGUGAUGCAAACCAGCUU